rnacentral:rRNA from 1 species
UAGCGUAUAUUAAAGUUGUUGCGGUUAAAAAGCUCGUAGUUGGAUUUCUGUUGAGGAUGACCGGUCCAUACCAUGUAUGCGCAUCUGGUUCAGCCUCGGCAUCCUCUCAAAUGACGUUGCUGCGCUUGAUUGCGUGGCGCGUACUUUGGGACUUUUACUUUGAGGAAAUUAGAGUGUUCACGGCAGGCUAUCGCCAGAAUACAUUAGCAUGGAAUAAUACUAUAGGAUCUUGGUUCUAUUUUGUUGGUUUCUAGAGCUAAGAUAAUGAUUAAUAGGGACAAUUGGGGGCAUCCGUAUCAACACGUC